UCCAUGCGUUCUUGAAUUAACUUGUCAACUUCCUCUUGAGUAUAUUUACCUCUCUGAAGAGCUAAUGUCUCUUCAUUAUGCCCUUCAACAAGUCUCAUGUUGGUAUCCUUUGUGGAGGGACUAGUCGAUGCUUUUCCAGAUCUAAGUUGCUGAAGUUGGUCAUUAACGGCAAUCAAUUGUCCCGAAACAUUGACGAUUGUAUUUUGGAGUACGGAAAUUUCAUGAUAAGUGCCAGCAAGUUUGGCUUUGUAGCCCUCUAUUUCAGCUUCGUAUUUCGCUUGCUGCUUUUGAGUGGAAUUAAUUGGGUAUUGAGUAGGUAUAUCGGCCUGUGAAGUUGAUGGUGUAGCAGAGUUGCGAAUGUUGUCUUUCAAAUGCACUGGUGGGUUCAACGGCGCCGUAUUAGUUUGACGUGGGAAGCUUCCGUUUGAAAGCACUGGGGGCCUAGAACUAGCUGAUGUUUGCAAAGAUGAUGAAUGACUGUAUGCAAAAUUAGAUGGAGCGGUAUUUAAAGAGCCUCGUUGGGAGGCCGCAUUGGACGAUGAAAAUAAAGAAGGAUUCUUCGGCGUCAAAAUAGAUUCUACAUUUCUUUUUCUAUGCUUAAAUUCUGGCGUUUUAUGCUGUGACAAAGGAUGGGAUAUGGGAUGCAUCGGUCUAGGGGUUCCUGAAAAAUCAAAAGAUUUAUUCAACUCUAAGGCUUGUAGUCGAUCGCUUACUCGCUUAUUAAGAGUAUCCUUUAAAUUCAGCUGUGGAUUGGGUUUAGAAGUUAACUUAGGGAAUAAUUUAGGGGCAGGCAUGGAUUCCUCUGAACUUCGUUGAGCUGGAGGAAUCAAUGAUUCUGAAGAGGCACCUUGCCUUUUUUCAUGAAAACCCGUAUGAUCAGUUUCAUUUGUCCCAAUACUAGAUGAGGAGGGAGACCUCCUACUGUAAUCUGUAGAGCUCGAAACGAUAUCACUCAUUUUCGGUUAUGACUUUUUAAAAUCGUCAAACGAUAUAAAGAACUAACAGAUAUAUGAAAUAUAAAUACACAAGAAAAUCCUUUUUCAAAUAUUUUACAGCUGGUAUUAUCGUUUCAAAGUUAACGAUCAGUAGCUAACUUUUAUUUUUACUUUUUGAAAACUGGUCAGAUGUCCGCCUACGUAGAACAAUGGUUCAAUAACAAACUUGAGUCAUACAAUGCCCAAUA